UACGUAGGGGGCAAGCGUUGUCCGGAUUUAUUGGGCGUAAAGAGCUCGUAGGCGGCUCACUAAGUCGGAUGUGAAAACUCCAGGCUCAACCUGGAGACGCCAUUCGAUACUGGUGUGGCUUGAGUUCGGUAGGGGAGCACGGAAUUCCUGGUGUAGCGGUGAAAUGCGCAGAUAUCAGGAGGAACACCGGUGGCGAAGGCGGGUCUCUGGGCCGAUAUUGACGCUGAGGAGCGAAAGCGUGGGGAGCGAACAGG
rnacentral:rRNA from 1 species